rnacentral:lncRNA from 10 species
GGGCUCCAGCCACUGGCAUUGCAACCAGGCACACCACCAUCCCAGGUCCUAAGCAAGAGGAGAGUUGUUGUGGAGGCUUGGCCUUAAGCUGAAUGGCAUCUCCUAUGGCCUAGGACUGAGUUGUGGACUAGGUGCAGCCUGCCAGGACUGACUGGGUGGCCAAGUUGGCUGCCAUAGCCAGGAUGGAGGAGGGAACUUUGCUGGGACUGGGGUGUGAGACGAAAGCAAGUCUCAUUCCUGUGGGCCAAAGCAGUGGCCACUGGGACAGCCCUAUCCUCCCUAUCCUAAGACUUCAGGACAGCAAAGGUUGCCCCUCACCAAGCAUUUCACAAGCGGCCUAAGGACUUCCUCUACCCCCUAAUCAAGGCUGGUGCAUGCAUAUGCCAUUGGAGGGCCUGAAUACAAGCUUGCUUGGUCCAGCUCUGCCCAACUUUGCCCCCUACUCCAAGACAGAGUGUGGGAUCCAGGCUCCUGGGUGUUCCACAACCCAACUACCACCUGGGUUACCCAAAUACCUCUUCUGGGGAACAGAGGUCGGGCAUAAAUCUCCAUGCUACCCCCACCGCUCGUUGUUACCUGCAAGCACCAUCUACUAGCCUGGAGGCUGGCCCACACAGCCCAUUGAAACUUGAAACAACGGCUAACACAAAAGCACUGUGCUUGAGAACUAGAAGAACAUUUCAUGACCACCUUUAUACCCACUGCCCCCACCAUCCUCGCUGCCCAAAAGGUCAAAAGCCCACUCACCUGCCCAGUACACCACUACUACAAUCAGCAUCCAAAAAAGCCCCCCACAGGCCCAAGAAUCGACUUGCCUGGAACUGCCAGUACAGGUGCCAGCAUAUGCUGCCUGAGGUCUCAAGGAGAAACACACUUGGCCCACCACUGCUACCACUGAAACCUGAAAAAGUAACCAAUAACUGCACCCUAACACACUAAGGAAUCCAUAGAUACCACUAAGGCUAUUUAUGACCAAGGAAAUCAUAC